rnacentral:misc_RNA from 1 species
GAAAUGCGAUAAGUAGUGUGAAUUGCAGAAUUCAGUGAAUCAUCGAAUCUUUGAACGCACAUUGCGCCCUUUGGUAUUCCUUAGGGCAUGCCUGUUCGAGCGUCAUCUAAACCUUCAAGCCCUGCUUGGUGUUGGGUGCCUGUCCCGCCUCCGCGCGCGGACUCACCUCAAAUCCCUUGGCGGCCCCCGCGUCGGCCACGAGCGCAGCAGAAACGCGAACUCGUGAGCCCGUCCGGGCGGCUCCCAGAAGCUACACCCACCCAGUUUGACCUCGGAUCAGGUAGGGAUACCCGCUGAACUUAAGC